GACGAACGCUGGCGGCGUGCUUAACACAUGCAAGUCGAACGAAGAGCGAUGGAAGCUUGCUUCUAUCAAUCUUAGUGGCGCACGGGUGAGUAACGCGUAAUCAACCUGCCCUUCAGAGGGGGACAACAGUUGGAAACGACUGCUAAUACCGCAUACGAUCUAAUCUCGGCAUCGAGGAAAGAUGAAAGGUGGCCUCUAUUUAUAAGCUAUCACUGAAGGAGGGGAUUGCGUCUGAUUAGCUAGUUGGAGGGGUAACGGCCCACCAAGGCGAUGAUCAGUAGCCGGUCUGGGAGGAUGAACGGCCACAUUGGGACUGAGACACGGCCCAGACUCCUACGGGAGGCAGCGGUGGGGAAUCUUCCGCAAUGGACGAAAGUCUGACGGAGCAACGCCGCGUGAGUGAUGACGGCCUUCGGGUUGUAAAGCUCUGUUAAUCGGGACGAAAGGCCUUCUUGCGAACAGUUAGAAGGAUUGACGGUACCGGAAUAGAAAGCCACGGCUAACUACGUG
rnacentral:rRNA from 1 species